UACGGGGGGGGCAAGCGUUGUUCGGAAUUACUGGGCGUAAAGGGCUUGUAGGCGGCCAACUAAGUCCGACGUGAAAUCCCCAGGCUUAACCUGGGAACUGCGUCGGAUACUGGAUGGCUUGAAUUCGGGAGAGGGAUGCAGAAUUCCAGGUGUAGCGGUGAAAUGCGUAGAUAUCAGGAGGAACACCGGUGGCGAAGGCGGGAUCCUGGGCCCGUACUGACGCUGAGGAGCGAAAGCGUGGGGAGCAAACAGG
rnacentral:rRNA from 1 species